rnacentral:rRNA from 1 species
AUGAAAUUGAUCUCCCCGUGCAGAAGCGGGGAUAAUACCAUAAGACGAGAAGACCCUAUGGAGCUUUAGACGUCAGAGCAGCCCAUGUAAAGCACCCCUUAACAAAGGAAAAAACCAAAUGAAGCCUGCCCUAAUGUCUUUGGUUGGGGCGACCGCGGGGAAAUACAAAACCCCCAUGUGGAGUAGGAAUACACAUUCCUAAACCCAAGAGCUCCCGCUCUAAUGAACAGAAAUUCUGACCAAUAAGAUCCGGCACACGCCGAUCAACGGACCGAGUUACCCUAGGGAUAACAGCGCAAUCCCCUUAAAGAGCCCUUAUCGACAAGGGGGUUUACGACCUCGAUGUUGGAUCAGGACAUCCUAAUGGUGCAGCCGCUAUUAAGGGUUCGUUUG